UUAGCAAGCCACUUUGUCGCUUCAAAUUUAUUUGAAGAGGAAAGUCCGGGCUCCACAGAGUAAGCAUAGCGGGUAACGCCCGUCCGUCGGAAGGCGAGGACAAGUGCAACAGAAAGUAUGUACAGUUCGGCUGUAGUGAAACCAGGUAAACUCUAUGCGGAGCAAUGCCAUGUAUACCAGCAGUUAAGAGCUACUCGUUCGUUGCUGGGGGGUAGGCAGAUAGAAAUUUAAGGUAACUUAAAUCCUAGAUAAAUGACAAAGCAUUUUAAAUCUAAAAUGACAGAACCCGGCUUAUCGGCUUGCUUUUUUU
rnacentral:RNase_P_RNA from 1 species